GGAGAGAUGGCUGAGUGGUUGAAGGCGCACGCCUGGAAAGCGUGUAUAGGCUAAUACCCUAUCUGGGGUUCGAAUCCCCAUCUCUCCGCCA
rnacentral:tRNA from 2 species